rnacentral:rRNA from 1 species
GUGGGAAACGAUGUGGGAAGGCCCAGACAGCCAGGAUGUUGGCUUAGAAGCAGCCAUCAUUUAAAGAAAGCGUAAUAGCUCACUGGUCGAGUCGGCCUGCGCGGAAGAUGUAACGGGGCUAAACCAUGCACCGAAGCUGCGGCAGCGACGCUGAUGCGUUGUUGGGUAGGGGAGCGUUCUGUAAGCCUGCGAAGGUGGCCUGUGAGGGUUGCUGGAGGUAUCAGAAGUGCGAAUGCUGACAUAAGUAACGAUAAAGCGGGUGAAAAGCCCGCUCGCCGGAAGACCAAGGGUUCCUGUCCAACGUUAAUCGGGGCAGGGUGAGUCGACCCCUAAGGCGAGGCCGAAAGGCGUAGUCGAUGGGAAACGGGUUAAUAUUCCCGUACUUGGUGUUACUGCGAAGGGGGGACGGAGAAGGCUAUGUUGGCCGGGCGACGGUUGUCCCGGUUUAAGCGUGUAGGUGUGUGUUCCAGGUAAAUCCGGUUCACUUUAACACUGAGGCGUGAUGACGAGGCACUACGGUGCUGAAGCAACAAAUGCCCUGCUUCCAGGAAAAGCCUCUAAGCAUCAGGUAACAUCAAAUCGUACCCCAAACCGACACAGGUGGUCAGGUAGAGAAUACCAAGGCGCUUGAGAGAACUCGGGUGAAGGAACUAGGCAAAAUGGUGCCGUAACUUCGGGAGAAGGCACGCUGACACGUAGGUGAAGUGAUUUACUCAUGGAGCUGAAGUCAGUCGAAGAUACCAGCUGGCUGCAACUGUUUAUUAAAAACACAGCACUGUGCAAACACGAAAGUGGACGUAUACGGUGUGACGCCUGCCCGGUGCCGGAAGGUUAAUUGAUGGGGUCAGCGCAAGCGAAGCUCCUGAUCGAAGCCCCGGUAAACGGCGGCCGUAACUAUAACGGUCCUAAGGUAGCGAAAUUCCUUGUCGGGUAAGUUCCGACCUGCACGAAUGGCGUAAUGAUGGCCAGGCUGUCUCCACCCGAGACUCAGUGAAAUUGAACUCGCUGUGAAGAUGCAGUGUACCCGCGGCAAGACGGAAAGACCCCGUGAACCUUUACUAUAGCUUGACACUGAACAUUGAGCCUUGAUGUGUAGGAUAGGUGGGAGGCUUUGAAGUGUGGACGCCAGUCUGCAUGGAGCCGGCCUUGAAAUACCACCCUUUAAUGUUUGAUGUUCUAACGUGGACCCGUGAUCCGGGUUGCGGACAGUGUCUGGUGGGUAGUUUGACUGGGGCGGUCUCCUCCUAAAGAGUAACGGAGGAGCACGAAGGUUGGCUAAUCCUGGUCGGACAUCAGGAGGUUAGUGCAAUGGCAUAAGCCAGCUUGACUGCGAGCGUGACGGCGCGAGCAGGUGCGAAAGCAGGUCAUAGUGAUCCGGUGGUUCUGAAUGGAAGGGCCAUCGCUCAACGGAUAAAAGGUACUCCGGGGAUAACAGGCUGAUACCGCCCAAGAGUUCAUAUCGACGGCGGUGUUUGGCACCUCGAUGUCGGCUCAUCACAUCCUGGGGCUGAAGUAGGUCCCAAGGGUAUGGCUGUUCGCCAUUUAAAGUGGUACGCGAGCUGGGUUUAGAACGUCGUGAGACAGUUCGGUCCCUAUCUGCCGUGGGCGCUGGAGAACUGAGGGGGGCUGCUCCUAGUACGAGAGGACCGGAGUGGACGCAUCACUGGUGUUCGGGUUGUCAUGCCAAUGGCACUGCCCGGUAGCUAAAUGCGGAAGAGAUAAGUGCUGAAAGCAUCUAAGCACGAAACUUGCCCCGAGAUGAGUUCUCCCUGAGACUUAGAGUCUCCUGAAGGAACGUUGAAGACGACGACGUUGAUAGGCCGGGUGUGUAAGCGCAGCGAUGCGUUGAGCUAACCGGUACUAAUGAACCGUGAGGCUUAACCUUACA